GACGAACGCUGGCGGCGUGCUUAACACAUGCAAGUCGAACGGAAAGGCCCUGCUUGCAGGGUACUCGAGUGGCGAACGGGUGAGUAACACGUGGGUGAUCUGCCCUGCACUUCGGGAUAAGCUUGGGAAACUGGGUCUAAUACCGGAUAGGAACCAUCUUUAGUGUGGUGGUUGGAAAGUUUUUUCGGUGUAGGAUGAGCUCGCGGCCUAUCAGCUUGUUGGUGGGGUAAUGGCCUACCAAGGCGGCGACGGGUAGCCGGCCUGAGAGGGUGUACGGCCACAUUGGGACUGAGAUACGGCCCAGACUCCUACGGGAGGCAGCAGUGGGGAAUAUUGCACAAUGGGCGCAAGCCUGAUGCAGCGACGCCGCGUGGGGGAUGAAGGCCUUCGGGUUGUAAACUCCUUUCGCUAGGGACGAAGCUUUGUUGCGACGGUACCUAGAUAAGAAGCACCGGCUAACUACGUG
rnacentral:rRNA from 1 species